CACACCAUGGGAGCGGGAUGUACCAGAAGCAGCUAGCCUAACCCGAUGUGCAAACUGAGGGGGGGCGGUUGCCACGGUGCGUUUCGUGACUGGGGUG
rnacentral:rRNA from 1 species